GGUGAAUACCUGAUACGCAUGCGUGGCAAUGGCUGCGCUUGCAUUAGGAUUUCUGCUUUCCUAUGGGGAAUCCGGUGAUGCUGGAAGUCCUCAUGCAUAGGGUGAGGACGUCCAGCAUCGGCACAGGUCCCUCUAGUGGCUCUCUGGUAAACCGCCUCUAGAGACGGAGUUACCCCAAAAAGCUAAUUAUUGAAGUUUAUAAAAAAACAAACAAAAAAACAAAACCCUGUGAU